rnacentral:rRNA from 1 species
AACGAACGCUGGCGGCGUGCCUAACACAUGCAAGUCGAACGAGAAAGGGGCUUCGGCCCUGAGUAAAGUGGCGCACGGGUGAGUAACACGUAGGUAACCUGCCUCCAAGAUUGGGAUAACAUGUCGAAAGACGUGCUAAUACCGAAUAAGACCACGACUUCCUCGGAAGGAGCGGUCAAAGAUAGCCUCUACUUGUAAGCUAUCACUUAGAGAUGGGCCUGCGCACCAUUAGCUAGUUGGUAGGGUAACGGCCUACCAAGGCAAAGAUGGUUAGCUGGUCUGAGAGGAUGAUCAGCCACACUGGAACUGAGACACGGUCCAGACUCCUACGGGUGGCUG